AAAGAGAGCGUCCUUAUACGUUAGAUAACAAACUGCGGGUACGUUUAGCACAAAGAUUGAAAUGAAUGAUAAAAAUGCUUUUUUCAACGGAGAGGUAGAAGAAUUAUCUGCCGUCCCGGAAGAAUGGUUUUCUCUAUGUGUAAUAGAAAGACUGUCUUCACCAUAAUCCGGAGGAGUCGUAGACUCGUCCGUAUUAAAUAAGUUAGGGUUGUUAG